AAUCAACGCUGGCGGCGUGCCUCAGACAUGCAAGUCGAACGAUUAAAGCUCCCUUCGGGGAGUGCAUAGAGUGGCGCACGGGUGAGUAACACGUAAGUAAUCUACCUUCGAGUGGGGAAUAACGUCCGGAAACGGACGCUAAUACCGCAUAAUGCAGCGGCAUCGCAAGAUGACAGUUGUUAAAGAUUUAUCGCUUGAAGGGGAGCUUGCGGCAGAUUAGCUAGUUGGUAAGGUAAUGGCUUACCAAGGCUACGAUCUGUAACCGGUCUAAGAGGACGGUCGGUCACACUGACACUGAACAACGGGUCAGACUCCUACGGGAGGCAGCAGUCGGGAAUUUUGGGCAAUGGGCGAAAGCCUGACCCAGCAACGCCGCGUGAAGGAUGAAGUAUUUCGGUAUGUAAACUUCGAAAGAAUGGGAAGAAUCAAUGACGGUACCAUUUAUAAGGUCCGGCUAACUACGUGCCAGCAGCCGCCGUAA
rnacentral:rRNA from 1 species